rnacentral:misc_RNA from 1 species
GAUGAAGAACGCAGCGAAAUGCGAUACGUAAUGUGAAUUGCAGAAUUCAGUGAAUCAUCGAAUCUUUGAACGCAUAUUGCGCUCUUUGGUAUUCCGAAGAGCAUGCUUGUUUGAGUAUCAGUAAACACCUCAACCUCUUCUUGAUUUUUCAAAAGGAGGGUGGACUUGAGCUAUCCCAACAACCUUUACCGGUCGGCGGGCGGCUUUAAAUGCAGGUGCAGCUGGACUUUUAUCUGAGCUAAAAGCAUAUCUAUUUAGUCCUCGUCAAACAGGAUUAUUACUUUUGCUGCAGCUAACAUAAAGGAUAAUUGUCCUCUUUGCUGACUGAUGCAGGAUUUUACGACACUUUAUGUGUUGUUCAACUCGAUCUCAAAUCAAGUAAGACUACCCGCUGAACUUAAGCAUAUCAAUAAGCGGAGGA